UGCAGUCGAGCGGACAGAAGGGAGCUUGCUCCCGGAUGUUAGCGGCGGACGGGUGAGUAACACGUGGGUAACCUGCCUGUAAGACUGGGAUAACUCCGGGAAACCGGAGCUAAUACCGGAUAGUUCCUUGAACCGCAUGGUUCAAGGAUGAAAGACGGUUUCGGCUGUCACUUACAGAUGGACCCGCGGCGCAUUAGCUAGUUGGUGAGGUAACGGCUCACCAAGGCGACGAUGCGUAGCCGACCUGAGAGGGUGAUCGGCCACACUGGGACUGAGACACGGCCCAGACUCCUACGGGAGGCAGCAGUAGGGAAUCUUCCGCAAUGGACGAAAGUCUGACGGAGCAACGCCGCGUGAGUGAUGAAGGUUUUCGGAUCGUAAAGCUCUGUUGUUAGGGAAGAACAAGUGCAAGAGUAACUGCUUGCACCUUGACGGUACCUAACCAGAAAGCCACGGCUAACUACGUGCCAGCAGCCGCGGUAAUACGUAGGUGGCAAGCGUUGUCCGGAAUUAUUGGGCGUAAAGGGCUCGCAGGCGGUUUCUUAAGUCUGAUGUGAAAGCCCCCGGCUCAACCGGGGAGGGUCAUUGGAAACUGGGAAACUUGAGUGCAGAAGAGGAGAGUGGAAUUCCACGUGUAGCGGUGAAAUGCGUAGAGAUGUGGAGGAACACCAGUGGCGAAGGCGACUCUCUGGUCUGUAACUGACGCUGAGGAGCGAAAGCGUGGGGAGCGAACAGGAUUAGAUACCCUGGUAGUCCACGCCGUAACGAUGAGUGCUAAGUGUUAGGGGGUUUCCGCCCCUUAGUGCUGCAGCUAA
rnacentral:rRNA from 1 species